GCUCUCUCCCUUCCGUCGGUAGCCUCGGCGCCGAGUAGCGAUUUGUGUGAGAGGGAAGAGACGAAGACAGGAGGAGGAGGAACACGACUGGUUAUUCUUAAUCACUCUGCUCGAGCUGCUAGGGAAUUGGCAUUAAUCUGCUCGUGAGGGAGUGACAUAUUGAGUAGCACAAGGAGUCGGAAGGUUCUGGUGCAGAGGGUGUCCAUUCAUUGUGAAAGACGUAAGAGGAGGGCAUCUCAGGGUGGACACAUCUUCUUUCAAAACCUUAGUCUUCUUGGCUAUCCCCUGUUUGGCUGUUUCCACUGGAUGUUGGUGCUCUAGUUUGCAUACUGAAAGACAAUGUCGUGGUGACAAUCACAUUGGCAUGGAACGAUCUGGCUCUAUAUCCUGUGUUCUCUUGCAUAUCUCAGUUGGCUUGUGUAUGAGUUGAUAGAAAAGAGGAUUCUAUUUAUUUAGAGGUAUCUUGUAGAACUUAAGUACCAUUCUAUGGUGAUGCAGUGAAAUUCUUAUGUCCAGUUAGGUCCAUAUCACUGUUAAUCGAUGAACUUAUGUACCAUUCAAAAAUCUUAUGUACCAUUCUAUGGUGAUGCUGUUGGUUACC